GACGAACGCUGGCGGCGUGCUUAACACAUGCAAGUCGAACGGAAAGGCCCUGCUUUUGUGGGGUGCUCGAGUGGCGAACGGGUGAGUAACACGUGAGUAACCUGCCCUUGACUUUGGGAUAACUUCAGGAAACUGGGGCUAAUACCGGAUAGGAGCUCCUGCUGCAUGGGGGGGGUUGGAAAGUUGCGGCGUUUGUGCAUGGACUCGCGGCUUAUGAGCUUGUUGGUGAGGUAGUGGCUGACCAAGGCUUUGACGGGUAGCCGGCCUGAGAGGGUGACCGGCCACAUUGGGCUAGGGGUACGGCCCAGAGUGCUACGGGCGGCAGGAGUGGAGGACAGUGCACGCUGGGCGGAAGGAGGAUGGAGGAACGCCGGGUGGGGGAUGACGGCCUUCGGGUAGUAACACGCUUUCGCCUGUGACGACGCGUCAGUGCGGGAAAUGAGUAAAGAAGCACGGGCAACCUACGU
rnacentral:rRNA from 1 species